rnacentral:lncRNA from 1 species
CCGGGUAUAGGUGCUGAACAAAGUGGGAAACAGCUUAUUUCUGACUCCAUUCUGACUUUUUGAAACUUAAGAUCUUUGGGAGGUGGGAAAAAAAAUCACAGGAUUCUGUGGGGAAAAAAGGCAGUCAGCAUAUUCUUUUUUUUUCAAAGAGUUACCACUGAAGCCUGUUGUCUAACCUAAAGGGCAGAGAAGAUAGUUAAGUAGUCCACAGAAUAUUCAGAUACUCCUUUUGUGGUCUUAACAGGUUGCAGAAGAGGAUUAAGGAUCAAUUUAAACAUCAGAGGUUCUGCCUGUAUCACAUAGUCUUGGUGCAAGACCGGAUGGGAUGAUGGGCACUAAAGUCCACAGUUUACUAGAUUUGAAUACUCUCCCUAAUCUCCUUCCUGGCUCCAGAAUCUUGAUUCCAGCUUGCUUGGAAUUUUUGUGUUGAUGUUUAGUUCCUGAUUGGCUUCAGCUGUACCAAUGGCAGGAGCGUAUCUUCUUUCCAGGCAGUCAUAAAAAGACGGUCAAAAGAACACAUAGUCUGUUGAAUUCCAUCUGUGGCUUAAAAAAGUUUAGAUACAAGUCCAGUAUCCUGUUAAUGCUUAUGCUGCUAUGCCAGGCACUACUAUCCUAAAUGUUCUUUGCGUCAUCAAGUUCAAAAAUAGCCCUUUUAUGCUGGGAAAAGUAGUAGUAUGUAACUUGUAAUAGACACCAUCAUCUUAGUAAAAUGCAGAUCAAUCUAGUCCUAACCUAGGACAAAAUAGAGGUUUGAAUGAAAUAACUUCUCUAAGUUCACAAAGUCAAAAAUGAACAGAUCUCAGGCUAGUUUUGUGAAAAAACCUAGCACUUGUAAAUAGAAUAUUAUUUAUAUUUCAACAUUUCUAAGAGGCAUUAGUAGAAUGCCUUCGGUCUAUUAUCAGUGAAGAUAGAAAGACAAGUACAGUUUCUUCACUCUAGUGGUUCAUAAUGUAGUGGGUGAGAGAGAAAUAAGGUUAUUUAUAUGAAGUACAAUAUGAUAGGAUUUACUACCAAGAUAAUACCAGGAUUCUAGAAGAAAAUAAAAAGGUGAUAGUUCAAUCAGAGAUAUGAACUUCCUUCCAGAGAAGCAAUGCUUAAACUGAAUUUAAGAGCAAUACGCAAAUGCACCAGGGAUAUAUAUUAUGGGCCAUCAGAACGUUGAUUGUUGUGAAAGCCACUUAGGAAGUGGUAUUUUAGACCAAGAAUACAAUAGCAUCCUCUUCAGAGACACAUGCAUAGCAUAGAAAGCCAAGGUAACUUACAAGUGAGGUCAGGUAGUCUUAGGAACUUUGC